CUAGAUUUUAACUCGCGG
rnacentral:snRNA from 1 species